rnacentral:rRNA from 1 species
UACGAAGGGGGCUAGCGUUGCUCGGAAUCACUGGGCGUAAAGGGCGCGUAGGCGGCCAUUCAAGUCGGGGGUGAAAGCCUGUGGCUCAACCACAGAAUUGCCUUCGAUACUGUUUGGCUUGAGUAUGGCAGAGGUCAGUGGAACUGCGAGUGUAGAGGUGAAAUUCGUAGAUAUUCGCAAGAACACCAGUGGCGAAGGCGGCUGACUGGGCCAUUACUGACGCUGAGG